rnacentral:rRNA from 1 species
GGGUUGUGAGGUUAAGCGAACAAGCGUACACGGUGGAUGCCCUGGCAGUCAGAGGCGAUGAAGGACGUGCUAAUCUGCGAAAAGCGCCGGUAAGGUGAUAUGAACCGUUAUAACCGGCGAUGUCCGAAUGGGGAAACCCGGUGCACUUCGGUGCAUCAUCGUUAGCUGAAUACAUAGGCUAACGAGGCGAACCGGGGGAACUGAAACAUCUAAGUACCCCGAGGAAAAGAAAUCAACCGAGAUUCCCCCAGUAGCGGCGAGCGAACGGGGAACAGCCCAGAGCCUGAAUCAGCUUGUGUGUCAGUGGAACGGUCUGGAAAGGCCGGCGAUACAGGGUGACAGCCCCGUACACGAAGGCACACAGGCUGUGAGCUCGAUGAGUAGGGCGGGACACGUGAUAUCCUGUCUGAAGAUGGGGGGACCAUCCUCCAAGGCUAAAUACUCCUGACUGACCGAUAGUGAACCAGUACCGUGAGGGAAAGGCGAAAAGAACCCCGGCGAGGGGAGUGAAACAGAACCUGAAACCGUGUACGUACAAGCAGUGGGAGCCUUCGUAAGAGGGUGACUGCGUACCUUUUGUAUAAUGGGUCAGCGACUUAUAUUCUGUAGCAAGGUUAACCGUAUAGGGGAGCCGAAGGGAAACCGAGUCUUAACCGGGCGUUAAGUUGCAGGGUAUAGACCCGAAACCCGGUGAUCUAGCCAUGGGCAGGUUGAAGGUUGGGUAACACUAACUGGAGGACCGAACCGACUAAUGUUGAAAAAUUAGCGGAUGACCUGUGGCUGGGGGUGAAAGGCCAAUCAAACCGGGAGAUAGCUGGUUCUCCCCGAAAGCUAUUUAGGUAGCGCCUCGUGAACUCAUCUCCGGGGGUAGAGCACUGUUUCGGCUAGGGGGCCAUCCCGGCUUACCAACCCGAUGCAAACUGCGAAUACCGGAGAAUGUUAUCACGGGAGACACACGGCGGGUGCUAACGUCCGUCGUGAAGAGGGAAACAACCCAGACCGCCAGCUAAGGUCCCAAAGUCAUGGUUAAGUGGGAAACGAUGUGGGAAGGCCCAGACAGCCAGGAUGUUGGCUUAGAAGCAGCCAUCAUUUAAAGAAAGCGUAAUAGCUCACUGGUCGAGUCGGCCUGCGCGGAAGAUGUAACGGGGCUAAACCAUGCACCGAAGCUGCGGCAGCGACGCUUAUGCGUUGUUGGGUAGGGGAGCGUUCUGUAAGCCUGCGAAGGUGUGCUGUGAGGCAUGCUGGAGGUAUCAGAAGUGCGAAUGCUGACAUAAGUAACGAUAAAGCGGGUGAAAAGCCCGCUCGCCGGAAGACCAAGGGUUCCUGUCCAACGUUAAUCGGGGCAGGGUGAGUCGACCCCUAAGGCGAGGCCGAAAGGCGUAGUCGAUGGGAAACAGGUUAAUAUUCCUGUACUUGGUGUUACUGCGAAGGGGGGACGGAGAAGGCUAUGUCGGCCGGGCGACGGUUGUCCCGGUUUAAGCGUGUAGGCUGACUUUCCAGGCAAAUCCGGAAGGUUAAGGCUGAGGCGUGAUGACGAGGCACCACGGUGCUGAAGUGACAAAUGCCCUGCUUCCAGGAAAAGCCUCUAAGCAUCAGGUAACAUCAAAUCGUACCCCAAACCGACACAGGUGGUCAGGUAGAGAAUACCAAGGCGCUUGAGAGAACUCGGGUGAAGGAACUAGGCAAAAUGGUGCCGUAACUUCGGGAGAAGGCACGCUGACAUGUAGGUGAAGCCCCUGCGGGUGGAGCUGAAGUCAGUCGAAGAUACCAGCUGGCUGCAACUGUUUAUUAAAAACACAGCACUGUGCAAACACGAAAGUGGACGUAUACGGUGUGACGCCUGCCCGGUGCCGGAAGGUUAAUUGAUGGGGUUAUCGCAAGAGAAGCUCCUGAUCGAAGCCCCGGUAAACGGCGGCCGUAACUAUAACGGUCCUAAGGUAGCGAAAUUCCUUGUCGGGUAAGUUCCGACCUGCACGAAUGGCGUAAUGAUGGCCAGGCUGUCUCCACCCGAGACUCAGUGAAAUUGAACUCGCUGUGAAGAUGCAGUGUACCCGCGGCAAGACGGAAAGACCCCGUGAACCUUUACUACAGCUUGACACUGAACAUUGAGCCUUGAUGUGUAGGAUAGGUGGGAGGCUUUGAAGCGUGGACGCCAGUCUGCGUGGAGCCGACCUUGAAAUACCACCCUUUAAUGUUUGAUGUUCUAACCUGGCGCCAUAAUCUGGCGUGGGGACAGUGUCUGGUGGGUAGUUUGACUGGGGCGGUCUCCUCCCAAAGUGUAACGGAGGAGCACGAAGGUCAGCUAAUCCUGGUCGGACAUCAGGAGGUUAGUGCAAUGGCAUAAGCUGGCUUGACUGCGAGAGUGACGGCUCGAGCAGGUGCGAAAGCAGGUCAUAGUGAUCCGGUGGUUCUGUAUGGAAGGGCCAUCGCUCAACGGAUAAAAGGUACUCCGGGGAUAACAGGCUGAUACCGCCCAAGAGUUCAUAUCGACGGCGGUGUUUGGCACCUCGAUGUCGGCUCAUCACAUCCUGGGGCUGAAGUAGGUCCCAAGGGUAUGGCUGUUCGCCAUUUAAAGUGGUACGCGAGCUGGGUUUAGAACGUCGUGAGACAGUUCGGUCCCUAUCUGCCGUGGGCGCUGGAGAAUUGAGGGGGGCUGCUCCCAGUACGAGAGGACCGGAGUGGACGCAUCACUGGUGUUCGGGUUGUCAUGCCAAUGGCACUGCCCGGUAGCUAAAUGCGGAAGAGAUAAGUGCUGAAAGCAUCUAAGCACGAAACUUGCCCCGAGAUGAGUUCUCCCUGAGACUAUAAGUCUCCUGAAGGAACGUUGAAGACGACGACGUUGAUAGGCCGGGUGUGUAAGCGCAGCGAUGCGUUGAGCUAACCGGUACUAAUGAACCGUGAGGCUUAACCUUACAACGCCAAAGAAGU